UUUGCCUCCUCUGCCCCUCUCUUUCAGACUUGACUAUCUUUCCUUCUCUCACUCUCUCUCACACUAUGUCUCUAAUCCAUUUUGUUGAGCCGUUGGAUCACCGCGAUCUGUACGAUUCUUGCUGCUCCUUCUCCCUCACGCGAUUUUUGCUGCUUAGUCUCCCCCUUCUCCCUCAUGCAAGUCUUGCUGCUCCUUCUCUAACUCCGUCUUCUCCCUCACGCGAUUCUCCCUCACGACAUUUCUCCUACUGGAAGCAAAAACCCAGGCAAGAGCACUCUAACCUCAUUUGUCUAUGUGAGGUAUUUUUUUUAAUUAAGAUUUCAAUUUAAUAUCAGAUAAUCACUGAUUCGAAAGCUCGCUUGUAAUGAUGCUAUCGAAAUCGGACCUCCCAGCGAUAUACUCAUUCUUGACUAAUUCAUUGAGUGGCGACGAAAGCGUCCGCAAGCCAGCAGAGGAGGCUCUCGCUCAGUGCGAGGCUAGGCCCAGCUUUUGCUCUUGUCUCAUGGUACUUUGUUUUAACUCCUCAUGAUUUGGAGGAGUUGUACCACAACCCUGAAUCAUUUCAUCACGAGCAGGAUAUGAUUCAGUGGACAGAAAAAUUGAGGCCUUGUGCUGAGGCUUUGUACAUUGUUUUGUUUCAUAACCAUAGCGAGCUUUUAGGUCCUCUUGUGGUUUCAAUCCUUCAAGAAGCAAUGAAUGGUUGCCCAACACCAGUUACUAAAAUCACUCCAGGGCUGCUUCUAAAAGAUGCUGCUUAUGCUGCUGCUGCAUAUGUUUAUUAUGAGCUUUCAAAUUACAUGACCUUUAAAGAUUGGUUUAAUGGUGCAUUAUCACUUGAUCUCUCAAAUGAUCAUCCAAAUAUGCGUUUCAUCCAUCGGAAAGUCGCAAUUAUAUUGGGACAAUGGGUUUCUGAGAUUAAAGAUGACACUAAAAGACCAGUAUACUAUGCUUUGAUCAAAUUGCUACAAGACAAAGACCUAUUUGUUAGAUUGGCAGCCUGUAGGUCGUUGUGUCUGCAUAUUGAAGAUGCUAACUUUUUAGAGGGAGCAUUCACUGAUCUUCUUCCCGUGUGUUAGGAUUCAUGUUUCAAGUUGGUCGAGGAAGUCCAAGAAUUUGAUUCAUAGGUACAGGUUUUGAAUUUGAUCUCCAUUCUGACAGGUCAUGUCAAGGAAAUUAUUCCAUUUGCAAAAAAAUUGGUGCUAUUUUUCCAAAAGGUGCCAGAGAACUUGGAAUCUUGAUCAGAAUUAGACAAAAAGACAACUAUUAGUGAUCUUAAUGAAAGGCAUGGACUGGCUAGUGAUGGGUGGCAUUCUCAGCUGUAGCAGUGGACAAAAUGUGCCAUCCAUUGGAAAGUCCAUGAAAUCCUCAAUGCCUUCUGGAUAUGUCAAAAAUUUGAAUGCUGGAGACUUGUUUUUUCUCCCAUAACUGAUUCUGCUUCAAAUCAUGGCCUAAUCCUAAUAAUUCUCUAUGGUUUGAAUUUGUACUUUUAUGUAUAAGUAACAGAUGUGCUGGGUCUUGGAAAUUAUGCCACUGAUGAUGAUGAAAUUCAUAUCUCUAGCUUGCCAAAUUCCAGGAAUAAAAAGCUUCAGCAUUCAAAUUUUGAAAAAUCUUCAGAAGACAAGCAUGAUGUUGGUGCAAAUGGCAGUUUGGUAGCCCUUGUUGUAGAAAGGUGCACACAAGACGCAACUUGUCAUGCUCCCCGUCACCUGGCAAGUCUAGAAGUAGAAGAAGUUAAGCAAAUGGACUCAAAACAAAGACAAGUGCACAAAUGAUGAUGAAUUGAAGAAUGGAGCAAGUUUCAUGCAUGGUUUACUUUUGUGUAUCUUGUAAUGUUUCUGUUUUUCAUUUUUGAAGUAAAAAAUGUUCAAGAUUAUAAAACUUUAUUAUGCUAUGCUUUCAAACUUAAGUUAGAACUAAGAUCUCAUGAAGUAGACACAUUCAUCGUUUGAAUUAGUUAUUCUUUAAUGUAAUACUUAUGGUUUAUCAAUCUAUUGAGAAUUACAUUUUAUGAUUAA